UGCCAGCCGCCGCGGUAAUACGUAGGGAGCGAGCGUUAUCCGGAAUUAUUGGGCGUAAAGCGUGCGUAGGCGGUUCGUUAAGUCAAAUCUGAAAGCCCCCAGCUUAACUGGGGAGAGUGAUUUGAAACUGGCGGACUUGAGUAUGGCAGAGGUAAGUGGAAUUUCAUGUGUAGCGGUGGAAUGCGUAGAUAUAUGAAGGAACACCAGUGGCGAAGGCGGCUUACUGGACCAGAACUGACGCUGAGGCACGAAAGCGUGGGGAGCAAACAGGAUUAGAUA
rnacentral:rRNA from 1 species